rnacentral:rRNA from 1 species
UAACAACAUUUAUUCUAUUUUCGUUUUCACGAAAGGGGGUGAGUUAAAUAUAAUCAAUUUUAGGUGUGUGUUUCUACGUGGUAUAGUAGUAAAAUAGUUAUAUUUUGGAGUGAUAGGCUUAUCAAGCUCCUUGAUAGCUUGUUGUGUAAAAAACAUAUUAAGUAUUAAGUCGGACUAUGAAAGUUAAGCUUUGUAGUUGUUUAUUAAAAAGGUUAAAUCAAGCUUCUUUAUAGUUUAAUCGUUAAUUGGUUUUCACAAUAAUAUUAAUUGCCUGUUAUUAUGUCUAUUACUACACUUUACUGUGUUAUCAUAUGUAUAAAUAAUGUUAAUAUAAGUAAUAAUAGAAAUACAUUAAAGGAAUUCGGCAAGUAUAGCACUCAACUGUUUAUCAAAAACGUAACUAUAUGUUAUAAUAUAUAGCUGUUCUGCUCAAUGGUAAUCUAAAUAGCCGCAGUACUCUGACUGUGCAAAGGUAGCAUAAUCAGUUGGCUCUUAAUUAGAGUCUAGGAUGAAUGAAGGUAUGGGUGAUAACUGUCUGCUAUUGUAUUAAAUCGAAUUUAGUAAGCAAGUGCAAAAACUUGCAAAAAUAAAAAAGACGAGAAGACCCUAGAAGCUUACGUGUUAUUUUGUUGGGGCGACAGAAUUACAUUGAAACUAAUUUUAUAGUACAUGACGUUAAUCAGAUAGAACAAGCUACUCUAGGGAUAACAGCAUAAUUUAUAUAGUUUGUGACCUCGAUGUUGGACUAGGUACAUAAUUUUUUAAAAGGAAAUUUGGCUGCUCUGUUCGAGCAAGAACACCUACAUGAUCUGAGUU